rnacentral:rRNA from 1 species
CGGACGGGUGAGUAACACGUGGAUAACUUACCUAUAAGACUGGGAUAACUUCGGGAAACCGGAGCUAAUACCGGAUAAUAUAUUGAACCGCAUGGUUCAAUAGUGAAAGACGGUUUUGCUGUCACUUAUAGAUGGAUCCGCGCCGCAUUAGCUAGUUGGUAAGGUAACGGCUUACCAAGGCAACGAUGCGUAGCCGACCUGAGAGGGUGAUCGGCCACACUGGAACUGAGACACGGUCCAGACUCCUACGGGAGGCAGCAGCC